rnacentral:rRNA from 14 species
GCCUACAGCCAUACCACCCUGAACGCGCCCGAUCUCGUCUGAUCUCGGAAGAAUAGAAACCUGUAGGGCCAUGGAUUCUGCUCUUGUGGAAGUCUAUGGCUGCCUCCUGGGCACAGGAAGGUGCUGUGCU